ACCUUAUAGACCAACUAAGUUUGUUCUGGUAUAAGCUUUCGUGUGCAUGCAGUAUCUGAAGAAAUGUGCAUGCACAUGAAAGCUUAUACCAGAACAAACUUAGUUGGUCUAUAAGGU